rnacentral:rRNA from 1 species
CCUACGGGAGGCAGCAGUGGGGAAUAUUGCACAAUGGGGGGAACCCUGAUGCAGCGACGCCGCGUGUGUGAAGACGUACUUCGGUAUGUUAAGCCCUGUCAGCAGGGAAGAAGAAAGACGGUACCUGACCAAGAAGCCCCGGCUAACUACGUGCCAGCAGCCGCGGUAAUACGUAGGGGGCAAGCGUUAUCCGGAAUUACUGGGGGUAAAGGGAGCGUAGACGGCAGAGCAAGUCUGGGUUGAAAGACAAGGGCCCAACCCCUGGGCUGCCCUUAAAACUGUCCGGCUGGAGUGCAGUAGAGGCAGGUGGAAUUCCUAGUGUAGCGGUGAAAUGCGUAGAUAUUAGGAGGAACACCAGUGGCGAAGGCGGCUUGCUGGGCUGUUACUGACGUUGAGGCUCGAAAGCGUGGGGAGCAAACAGGAUUAGAUACCCGAGUAGUC